CAACCCUCAGGCCCCGCCUGGCGUUGGGGAUCGGCGCGGCGCCCGCUCUCGCGGCGGCGCGCUGCCGGCCCCGAAAUUUAGUGGCGGUCUCGCUGUAGUCCUCCUCUGCGUAGUAGCUAACACCUCGCACUGGAACUCGGCGCGGCCACGCCGUAAAACACCCCACUUCUGAA
rnacentral:misc_RNA from 1 species